UACGUAGGGUGCAAGCGUUGUCCGGAAUUAUUGGGCGUAAAGAGCUCGUAGGCGGUUUGUCGCGUCGGGGAGUGAAAACUCAGGGCUUAACCCUGAGCCUGCUUCCGAUACGGGCAGACUAGAGGUAUGCAGGGGAGAACGGAAUUCCUGGUGUAGCGGUGGAAUGCGCAGAUAUCAGGAGGAACACCGAUGGCGAAGGCAGGUCUCUGGGCAUUAACUGACGCUGAGGAGCGAAAGCAUGGGGAGCGAACAGG
rnacentral:rRNA from 1 species